GACGGAGGGGGCUAGCGUUGUUCGGAAUGACUGGGUGUAAAGGGCGCGUAGGCGGUAUUUUUAGUGAGGCGUGAAAGCCCUGGGCUUAACCCAGGAGGUGCGUUUCAUACUGAAAUGCUAGAGUGCGGGAGAGGAAAGUGGAAUUCCUAGUGUAGAGGUGAAAUUCGUAGAUAUUAGGAAGAACACCAGAGGCGAAGGCGGCUUUCUGGCUCGUAACUGGCGAUGAGGUGCGAAAGCGUGGGGAGCAAACAGG
rnacentral:rRNA from 1 species